GCCUUCCGAGUACUGCUUCUGCGACGCCCAUGUAAUUAUAUGCCGUCCUUAUUCUAAUAAUCACGCCCCCAAUCCCUGUGACUGACAGCUCUAGACCCACCGGUCUAGCGCUGAGAUUCCGCGCCUGCGCACUCGCAUCUCUGAUGGAGCGUGCGCACUAGAGGAAUAAAUUAGCCAAGAGGAACGGGAAAAGGCCAGUGCGCACGCGUCUCAGUGGGUCAGCGCUG